GGACCAAGGAGUCUAGCAUGUGCGCAAGUCAUUGGGAUUUUAUAAAACCUAAAGGCGUAAUGAAAGUGAAAUAUAUAUAAAUUUUCGUAAUUUAUUUAUUAAGGGAAGAUGGGUAACGUUAUUUAUGUUACCUCGCAUUCCCGGGGCGUCGCGUACUCAUUGCGAGUUGCGGCGCACCAAGAGCGUACACGCUGGGACCC
rnacentral:rRNA from 1 species